rnacentral:tRNA from 1 species
CGGGGAGGGGCUCAGCAGUAGAGCACAGGACUUGCAUGCCCGAGGCCCCUGGUUCAAUCCCUGGCUCUGCAU